rnacentral:rRNA from 1 species
AAACAAAGGGAAGCUAGCCGGUGACGGUGCGCGAAUCCCAAAAAUAACGUCUCAGUUCGGAUUGUAGUCUGCAACUCGACUACAUGAAGCUGGAAUCGCUAGUAAUCGCGGAUCAGAAUGCCGCGGUGAAUACGUUCCCGGGUCUUGUACACACCGCCCGUCACACCAUGGGAGUCGGAAAUGCCCGAAGUCUGUGACCGAACCGAAAGGAAGGAGCAGCCGAAGGCAGGUCGGAUGACUGGGGUGAAGUCGUAACAAGGUACC